rnacentral:rRNA from 1 species
GGGAACCUCACCCGGCCCGGACACCGCGAGGAUUGACAGACUGAGAGCUCUUUCUCGAUUCGGUGGGUGGUGGUGCAUGGCCGUUCUUAGUUGGUGGAGCGAUCUGUCUGGUUAAUUCCGAUAACGAACGAGACUCUGUCCUGCUAAAUAGUGUCUGCUUCUCUUUUGAGCAAUAA